CCUACGGGUGGCAGCAGUGAGGAAUAUUGGUCAAUGGGCUUACGCCUGAACCAGCCAAGUCGCGUGAGGGAAGACUGCCCUAUGGGUUGUAAACCUCUUUUGUCAGGGAGCAACGCCGGCUACGUGUAGCCGGACUGAGAGUACCUGAAGAAAAAGCAUCGGCUACCUCCGUGCCAGCAGCCGCGGUAAUACGGGGGAUGCGAGCUUUAUCCGGAUUUAUUGGGUUUAAGGGGUGCGUGGGGGGAAUGCAAAGUCAGCGGUAAAAUCGCGGGGCUCAACCUCGCUCCGCCGUUGAAACUGGCGGUCUUGAGUGGGCGAGAGGUAUGCGGAAUGCGUGGUGUAGCGGUGAAAUGCAUAGAUAUCACGCAGAACUCCGAUUGCGAAGGCAGCAUACCGGCGUCCAACUGACGCUGAAGCACGAAAGCGUGGGUAUCGAACAGGAUUAGAUACCCGAGUAGUC
rnacentral:rRNA from 1 species